AGAACGAACGCUGGCGGCAUGCCUAACACAUGCAAGUCGAACGCCUGUAGCAAUACAGGAGUGGCGCACGGGUGAGUAACGCGUGGGAACCUACCCUGGAGUGGGGGAUAACCGAGGGAAACUUCGGCUAAUACCCCAUACGACCUGAGGGUGAAAGAUUUAUCGCUCUAGGAGGGGCCCGCGUCGGAUUAGCUAGUUGGUGAGGUAACGGCCCACCAAGGCGAUGAUCCGUAGCUGGUCUGAGAGGAUGAUCAGCCACACUGGGACUGAGACACGGCCCAGACUCCUACGGGAGGCAGCAGUGGGGAAUAUUGGACAAUGGGGGCAACCCUGAUCCAGCAAUGCCGCGUGAGUGAUGAAGGCCUUAGGGUUGUAAAGCUCUUUCGGCGGGGACGAUGAUGACGGUACCCGCAGAAGAAGCCCCGGCUAACUUCGUGCCAGCAGCCGC
rnacentral:rRNA from 1 species